rnacentral:lncRNA from 1 species
UGCCGCGCCCCAACGGCUGCCGCGCACCGCGCAUGCGUGGGGCUGCCCGCCCCCCCCCCGCUGGGGCACCAUGGGAGCGCCCGGGGCAUCAUGGGAGCAUCCAGAGCAUCAUGGGAGCGCCCGGGGCAUCAUGGGAGUGCCUGGAGCAUCAUGGGAGCAUCCAGAGCAUCAUGGGAGCGCCCGGGGCAUCAUGGGAGUGCCCAGGGCCUCAUGGGAGUGACAUGGGGCAUCAUGGGAGCACCCAGGGCAUCAUGGGAGUGAGGUGAUGCCGCGUGGAUGGAGGCCCCCCGCGGGGACCAGGCUGAGCUGAUGACCCCCGACCCCAGGGCGCCCGGACGCCUGGACCCCCCCGCGGCCACGCCCCCAGGCGGCCCCCGGACCCCCGGCCCCGGGCUCAAGCGCCGCCCCGACGCCUGUGACUGGGAGCCGGCCCCCAAGCAGGCCGUGUCGGAGGCGCUGGCGGCCGCCCGGCUCCAGGCCCUCGGCCUCCACCACGACCACGGCUACAGCGG